CACAUUGUUCUGUCAUUUAUGACAAUGUUGUUAGUUUAUUUAAGUGAUUUAACAAUUAUUUCCAGACAGAAUGGGUAACUUAGGUCCUGGUUUGAUUUAUAAAUUUAAAGUUAAACAACAUUCAAACUUGCAUAUGUAUAUUUCUUAUAUAUGGUAAGGGCAAGAUAUGUAUUAGCAUGAAGUUGCCAUUACAUCUGCACACUAGAUUUCAGUAGUUGAUCAUUUGGGGUUGGAUAAAACUGGAACUUUAUAUUGUAGUCAUUUUUCUGAUGACUGAUUGGUUUGGGUUAGUUUCGGUUAUGAUAUUGAUAGAACAUUUAAUUUUAAUCUCUCUCAAGAACUGAACAAUGCAUGCAUGUUUCUUUAAACGUUAAAAUAUCACAAUGUUUCUUCAUUGCGACCCUGUUGCUAGGAAGGUAUGUAUUUGUCACAUUGAGAAUUGCUGAAAGUUUGAAAUGUUGAUGAAUUAUUAACUCCUGUAGAGUUACAUGCAGAUUUUGGAGGCCUUAUCAGCAGAGGGCAUGAUUGCCCCUUCAUCUUUUAAAACAGUAGGGCAUAUCGCACACCUGAGCCUUAGAGAUGAGCAUUUACCUUUCAAAAAUCUCAUAGCAAAGAUGCAUAGUUCUAGUUACAUGUUUACUAUUUUGACCAUAUAAACUUGCGAACUGACUUCUAAAGAAGGUUUUGUUCUUCUUCGGCUAGUUUUGGAUUAAACAAGCCACAAUUGCAAACUGUUGUCAAAUAAAACUGAUGACAUCCAUAAUGACUACAGAACCAUGCAACUUGAGGUUCUAGCUGGAGUUCAUUCCCUUGUGACCGUUGUAGUUGAGAAUGGAUUGCGAUUUAAUGUUGAUUUAGCUAUGGUAUAUGUUUUCCUUUCUUUUCAAGUUAUGAAAAAUUCAUCUAAAUGUUCUGAUGUCUGCUCCUUCUGGUGAGCAUAAUGUCAUAUCUUUGCACAAAGACUGCAGAGCUCUCUUUAAGCAAAGCAAGCCCAUGUAACGGCUAGGGUCGUGCAUUGCUCCUAUAUCUGAGUCAGGCAUCUGGUGCUGACUUUGAGUGACACAUUUGUAGCUAAGUCUUAAUUCAGCUUCUUUGAAGUCGCUGUGAGACACCUGGUAGACACCUGGAUUGACCACAUUUCCCCGUGUCAUAGUAAUAUAUCAGAGAAAAUCACUUGUAUUUUCAUAUACCUUAAAUGUGAUUUCGUAUUGGUAUCAUCAAAGUCAUCUACUAUACCUCAUGUUAUCAACUAAAGAUACGAUUUCUGAGACUAUUACUGGACAGUUAGCAGCAUCCCUUUCAGUGAGUCAAAAAUGUGUCUAAUUAUGAAUAUGUCAACCAUGACCUGUGUAAUAGAUCCUCAUUAGUGUCCAAAAAAAGGAAAACAACAAGCAUCUGAUGAAUUCAUCUCUCAUGCAGAUAUCAGAAUUCAAAGUUUGCAACUGAAAGGCAAAGGCUUCUGAAUGGUUCGAUCACAAAGAUGUGGUUUUUAUGUUUGUAACUUGACCAUAUUAACUAUGGUAGCUUACAGAUUAUUAUUGAUACCUUCUAACAUAUGGGUCCUUUGUAAAACUACUAUUACAUUUCUCAGUUUCUGGGGCGGAGUUUAGCACAGCUGAGAUGUUUACAUGUGUACUUCUUUGUUUCCUUUUUUUUUUCCCCUUGAUUUGACAGGUGAUGUUUUUGCUGGUGUUAGUCCAGUUGCUGUAUCUGCAGCAAAGAUAGUGCAACGUGUAUAUGCUAACGAUUUGAAUCCUUUUGCAGUUGACUUCCUGGAAAGAAAUGGUGUCCUCAACAAACUUGAGAGAAAAUAGAGGUCUAUAUGGGAGGAGGUUCAUUGAUGCUAUGUUUGCCAGUGACAAAGCUCAGUCCAUAACACAAAUGGUUAUGAAUUCACCAAAUGAUGCAGCAGACUUUGUAGGCGUGUUGCAAACCCCAUCACAAACUCUCUUUUGUUCUAUAAUCAUUAGUAAAUUUGAGAGUUACUGAUAGAAUCUGGAUGAUGGGCAGAUAUCACAGUAUAUAUGUUACAAAAGAAUUGCUUUUGUUAGAAAAGACCCAUAUGUUAAUCAACAAAAUGCCAAGUAUGUUGAUCAUCUCUUUGUUCUCUGUCUGAUGCUUCUGUUUCUCUUUUUUCAUUUUUGUGUCUCACUGCUGCGUAUGGGAAUUGCUUUGUCAGACGUAACUGUCUUGUUGCCCCAGGAAAAUGGAUGUUAUGGGCAUCAUUUGUUCUACCAGAGAGUGUAGCAUUUGCAAAGAGUCAUGAAAUAAGUAGAUCACAUUAAAAGCUACAAUUCAUGUAUCAUAAUAUUCAUUUCUCUUGUACCUCACAGUUCUAUUUCCUGUCUUUCUAGCUACUUCCUCAAUUGUAUUUCAAUCUUCAGUUGUUUGUUAUAGUGCAAUGUCCUGUAACCAAAACUGUAAUUAUUU